GCUUCUUUUUCCACCGGAGCUUGCUCCACCGGAAAAAGAGGAGUGGCGAACGGGUGAGUAACACGUGGGUAACCUGCCCAUCAGAAGGGGAUAACACUUGGAAACAGGUGCUAAUACCGUAUAACAAUCAAAACCGCAUGGUUUUGAUUUGAAAGGCGCUUUCGGGUGUCGCUGACGGAUGGACCCGCGGUGCAUUAGCUAGUUGGUGAGGUAACGGCUCACCAAGGCCACGAUGCAUAGCCGACCUGAGAGGGUGAUCGGCCACAUUGGGACUGAGACACGGCCCAAACUCCUACGGGAGGCAGCAGUAGGGAAUCUUCGGCAAUGGACGAAAGUCUGACCGAGCAACGCCGCGUGAGUGAAGAAGGUUUUCGGAUCGUAAAACUCUGUUGUUAGAGAAGAACAAGGAUGAGAGUAACUGUUCAUCCCUUGACGGUAUCUAACCAGAAAGCCACGGCUAACUACGUGCCAGCAGCCGCGGUAAUACGUAGGUGGCAAGCGUUGUCCGGAUUUAUUGGGCGUAAAGCGAGCGCAGGCGGUUUCUUAAGUCUGAUGUGAAAGCCCCCGGCUCAACCGGGGAGGGUCGUUGGAAACUGGGAGACUUGAGUGCAGAAGAGGAGAGUGGAAUUCCAUGUGUAGCGGUGAAAUGCGUAGAUAUAUGGAGGAACACCAGUGGCGAAGGCGGCUCUCUGGUCU
rnacentral:rRNA from 1 species